rnacentral:rRNA from 1 species
UAGCUUGCUACCGAUGAUGGCGACCGGCGAAUGGGUCGAGUCACGCGUGUCCAACCUGCCCCCCGCCCGGGGAUAGCCCUUGGAAAUGACGGAUUAAGACCCGAUACGUGGCGUUUCCGCAUGGCGGCGCCAUGAAACGAGGCGGGGGAUGGGACGCGUCGGAUUAGCUUGACGGCGGGGCAACGGCCCACCGUGGCGACGAUCCGCAGGGGCGUCUGAGAGGAAGGUCCCCCCACACUGGCACUGAGACACGGGCCAGACUCCUACGGGAGGCAGCAGUGAGGAAUAUUGGUCCAAUGGCCGAGAGGCUGAACCAGCCAAGUAGCGUGCAGGAUGACGGCCCUACGGGUUGUAAACUGCUUUUGCGGGAGGAUAAAGUGCGCUACGUGUAGCGCUUUGCAGGUAUCCCGUGAAUAAGGACCGGCUAAUUCCGUGCCAGCCGCCGC